rnacentral:rRNA from 1 species
UACGGAGGGUGCUAGCGUUGUUCGGAAUUAUUGGGCGUAAAGGGCGCGUAGGCGGUUUGUUAAGUCGGCUGUGAAAGCCCGGGGCUCAACCCCGGAGGGUCAGCCGAUACUGGCAGACUAGAGUACGGAAGAGGUAGCUGGAAUUCCCGGUGUAGCGGUGAAAUGCGUAGAUAUCAUUUGGAACGCCAAUGGUGAAAACAGGUAGCUGGGGCUGUGCUGACACUGAGACACGAAAGCCAGGGGAGCAAACGGG